AUAAACAAACAACAUAUAUUUAGAUUUCAAGUCACAAAAGGAGCGACCAGAAUUAUCAAAAUUGAAAGAUUUAUCUUUAAAUCAACGUAAAAAUUACUUUUUGAGCAAUGUCGACUUUGCUCGAUUAACGUCGUUAAUUGUUAUUUUUUAUUAAUAUACUAUCUUGUUCAUGCAAAUAUGUGUUUGUUAUACAGGCAAUAUGUGGGUUUGUACAGUCAAAUGUUUUCUUGGACAUACAAAUUUACGUAAAUGUAAAGGUGUACUUGUACACGCAAAGUUUUUAACCCUCUAUAUUGGUUUUGUGUAAUCUAAUCAGUUUUGACUGUAAUUACGUACUUAGUAUUUUUAUAUGAAAAAAAAUCAGGCAUUUUUGUAUUCUGUAAAUUCGAUGAAAAUGUGUGAAACUUGUAAUAAUCAUUACCAUUUACUACAUUAGAAAAUUCUGCAUUUUUUUGUAAAUGGUGAAUGGUGAUGGAUAUUGUGUAGAAUGUAAAUCCUAUUUACCCUGCUUAUCAAUUAAAAACAUGUACAGUACUGUACACUGCAUGUACUUGGACAUAAGCAUGUACUGUACAGCCAAUAUUUCCCGCAUAUUCUCAUUGUAUGUAAAUUCUAGCUACGUGGCAUUGUAAAUAAUAUUUGUUAACGAUUAAAAAUUUGUCCACAAAAAAAACGACGCUUUUGAUUAUGUAGAUUGAAGACUAGUGUUAAAUGGCUUAUGUACAUAAUGAAAUCUCUGACCAGUCAGGACAGUACAUGAGUACAUGACCUUGAAGUUACUGUACCCAGGAAAUUGUUUAAAUUUUUCCUGUUGAAUUCAGACUUAAGAUGGAAGUUGAUGCCAUGAAAAAUAAAUGUUUCUAUUGGAAUUAACAUAUUAAAUUUUUUUGAAAUGAAGUAAUUUUUUUUCUUUAUUCUUUGUUAUAUUUACCCGAUGCCACUAGUUGAUGUGAUGCCAUUUUGUUGCCUUUUUGGAUUAUUUUUUUUUGCAUUGUAUUAUAUUUUUCUUGUCAGGUUAAAUUCCAAAAGUUGCCAUAAGAUAAAAGCCAUGGUGAAUUUCCAAGGCAAAACGUAAGAUAAACAAUUUUACCAUAUUACAUGAUCUCAUGUAAUGAUUUAGUUUGUGUAAAAAUUCAUUAAUAUUUAAGAUUUUUUUUUUACCAUUACUUCCUAAAGAUAAAUUAAGCAUGGUACCUGAAAAUUUAUUAAUCUUAAACCUCUACGAACUAAAAGAUUUACAUUUUUCUCAAAACCUUUGAAAGGAAAACGUUCUUGCUUCUCAAAAACUGAUCGAAAUAACUGAUGAAUUAUUUUAAUUUUGGUACUUUAAAUGAUAUUUACAAACUAAGUAUCAUGUUUGAAAAUUAAAAUUUUAUAAUUGGCGUAAUUGACGUUUGAUGGCUUCAAAGAGACAUCCGAAUUAAGUAAGAAACCCAAUCUCCAAUGCGUUUAGUGUUGAAAUAUUUCUUGAAACGUAAUUUUAUAAUUUUUUAUUUUAUACAAGAUUAGUCUCAGAUAAUUUUUUUAUUUCUAGUCGUAUAAAAGGCAAACUGUAAGUCAUGAAAUUAUAUCAGUAUUUUUUAUCCAUUAAUUUUUAGUCAAAAUAAUUUAAUAAGUAAAAAAUUUACAUUAUGAACCUGUUACAAAAAUGAAGACAUUUCAAAACGAAAAUAUAUGCAUUUAAGUAAUUAAGUACCUUUUUAUAUUGUUUAUUACAUUGUAAGACAAUUUUAAUUAGUCUUUCACGAUGUAAAUAGAAAAGAUUUUCGGAAUUUCUAUAUGUUCAACAAAAAAGUUCCUAAAAAUCAGCCUACUAAGCUCGGACUAAGCUUGGCAAAAUGAUGUACUUUCUCCAUAGAGUGCGACUUCGGGAAAAGCUGUACAGUGUACAGUGUCUGACUUCAAAUCCACAAGCAAAAAUGUUAAGCCCAUCGCAACCUAUCGUGAGAAAUUUGAUAGCUGUGCGAACUGUACAAUUAUACACAGCAUCGGAAUUUUAAUUAUGUACAGUGUAAACUUCUGGACUGGAUUUAAGUGCUAUGAAGUGGGCGCAGUUGUGUUCACAAGAGACGAAAACGAAAGAAUGGAGAGAGCAAAUCUAAAUUCCGUACUGAAGAAACAUUGUAAAAUGUACAUAUAUGAAGCUCCUUACAGCGUACAAGAUCGACAAGAAUCUCUGAACUGUACACGAUGAAAGUAAUGUUUACGCACUACAUACUGAAAAUACUUAAGUCUACAUUGUAAAAAGUCCUGAAUAGCGCAAAAUUAGUGAAUACUGUACAUGCUGAAAGUACAUUAGUGUACAAGGUCUACAAAACCCAUAAAAUGGUUUAAGUAGGAGAAGUUUACUGUACAUGUUGUAAGUUGUCCAGUGUACAAGGCCUGAAAGAUUUCUCCUGAACAGUGCCUGGUACAUGUUGUUAUAAUUGCCCAAUGGACAGCGUACAUGUUGAAAGUACUGCAGUUUACACUCUACUUUGUACAAGGCCUGCAGGGAACUCUGAACUUUUCUAAAUACGGGAUUAGAUUUAGAUUGUUUUUUUUUCGGGAAGUGUAAUAAUUGUGAUGUUAUUUAUGUUAUUAUAUCAGUGUAAGAAUGUUGUUGGUAUAGUAAUUUACAUGUAAACGCAUUUUAUGCAAAUCAUUAUUCAUUCAGAAUUGUUCUUAAAUAUCCAUGUUAACUUCACGUUUGAUGAUGAAAAUCUUUUCAGAUUAAUACGAUGAUUGGACCUCUACUUGUAUUUGAUUUUGAUCAAACCAUUGCAGAUCUUAAUACAGAUGUCGAGGUACAGAAGUUACAUCCUGAGGGGAAAAUACCAGAAACAUCAGAAAUUCACAAACUAUACGAUAAAACUGGUUGGACGGAUUAUAUGGGAGCUGUAUUCAAACUCCUUCAUUCCCAUAAUAUUAGUAAGGACCAGAUUUUGGAGUUGAUGGGGUCACUUCAGUUCACCCCGGGUAUGGUUGAGCUGUUGAAGACCAGUGUAGAGGAACACAAUGCUAAAAUUAUCAUAAUCUCAGAUUCAAAUUCAGUGUUUAUUGAGCAUAUUUUGGAGUAUAAUGGACUUAAGCAUUUGGGUUAAGCGCCAGCAACUUACCUGUGUCCGCUUGGGUCUCAGGGAACAUAUCGGGUUGAUGCUGUUUUUACCAACCCUGCUGAGUGGGGGGAGGAAGGGUUAACAAUCAAACCAUACCAUCACCAGGUCGAAUGUGAAUUGAGCAC